rnacentral:rRNA from 1 species
CCUACGUGGGGCUGCAGUGGGGAAUAUUGGACAAUGGGCGAAAGCCUGAUCCAGCCAUGCCGCGUGUGUGAAGAAGGCCUUCGGGUUGUAAAGCACUUUCAGUGGGGAAGAAAGCCUUGGGGCUAAUACCCUCGAGGAAGGACAUCACCCACAGAAGAAGCACCGGCUAACUCCGUGCCAGCAGCCGCGGUAAUACGGAGGGUGCGAGCGUUAAUCGGAAUUACUGGGCGUAAAGCGCGCGUAGGCGGUCUGAUAAGCCGGUUGUGAAAGCCCCGGGCUCAACCUGGGAACGGCAUCCGGAACUGUCAGGCUAGAGUGCAGGAGAGGAAGGUAGAAUUCCCGGUGUAGCGGUGAAAUGCGUAGAGAUCGGGAGGAAUACCAGUGGCGAAGGCGGCCUUCUGGACUGACACUGACGCUGAGGUGCGAAAGCGUGGGUAGCAAACAGGAUUAGAUACCCUGGUAGUC